AACAACGAGAACCACAAGAGCUUCUAGCAACACCAAUACAGCGAAGUACUGCAAUGCAGAACAACGACUUUAAAAAGAUCUUUUUAAAGUCGUUGUUCUGCAUUGCAGUACUUCGCUGUAUUGGUGUUGCUAGAAGCUCUUGUGGUUCUCGUUGUUUUCUUAC
rnacentral:miRNA from 1 species